ensembl:lncRNA novel transcript
CAAUAACCCCAGCAUUGGAGAGAGUGGAGCAGCCCUUCAAGAAGUUCCAACCUCUGCCCAGGACUGGUUUUACCAACUUCACUAGGCUUAGAAUCGUAGGAAGUCUAUUUGGGACUUGCGAGUCUCACGUAUUCCUGCCUAAAUGUUUAUGGAUACCUGUUUAGAGCUGAAAUCUUUUCAGCUCCCAUAAUAUGAGGGAAUUAGGUCUCAAAGAAGAUCAUGUAUUUUGAUCAGACCUUAUAGCUGAGCAGUGGAAAGAAAAAAAAUCAGUGUGAGAUCUCCCAGGGUUCCGCAGGAGUGGCUUCCUUAGUCCAACUGGCAGCCUAUCCUGGAAUAUUGCCUGGGAGAGAGGUUAGUUGCUUUUCCUGGUGCUAGGAACUGAAUGGUUUUACAUAUUGAUCAAUGAAAAUACUUAUUUGGCCUACAAUAGGUGCAAAAAUACUGCUAAUUACUAACAGUAUCUCUUCUUUGCUGCGUGCCAGACACUCCACUGGGCAUUAUGCAGUUAAUAUGUACCAUGAAUUUCCCGUGGUUAGCAAUGAUGUCAGGCAUAGAAAAGACAUGAAAUUAUGAUGUCAAAUGAAUAAACUGGAAAAAGGAAUUUCUUGAAUUUUCUCCAGCUGUCCUAAGAAUGUAUCUAUACUUUGAUCCUGGCCUACCUUUUCAACAUCUAAACUUUAUUCCCCCAAGCUUCUAGAUAUUCAAAGUUAAGUAUUAAAUAAAAUCAGUAAAUAUAUACAAGCUUGUUUGGCCAUUCUGAAUAAGGUUAUAUUUCCACCACACAAUCUCCAAAUUCUCUAGCAGAAGGGAUCAGUAUGUUAUAGAUACCCCCUUUCCUUCCCUCCCUGGCAAGCCACCACAUCUGUUAUGGGUACUCAAUGCAGUGGCUGCACCUGGGCCUCACUCAUUAAGCAGUUGUUGAUUGAGUGACUGAAUUGAAUGCCUGAUGAGCUCGCAAGUAAGAUUCAGACUGUGCCUGCAAACUAAUAGGAUCCCUCCGCUUUUUAUUCACUACUGCUGAGGUAGAUCUCAGGCCAGCCUGAAGUUUAGGUCUACUGAGAAAUAAUAAGCCUCAAAAAUCGAGCUUUGCUUCACCCAGUCUCCCAGUAAACACUAAGAAAUGUUCACAUUAUUUACACAUCCUAGACUGCCUGUCUUAUGGACCAAAUGUUUGUGUUCUCCCCGCAAUUUAUACAUUGGAAUCCUAACCCUCAAUGUAAUAGCAUUAGGUGCUGGGGUCUUUGGGAGGUGAUUGGCUAAUGGACCUGGAGCCCUCAUGAUGGGAUGAGUCCCCUUAUCAGAAGAGACCUGAGAAGGCUUGCUUCCUCUCCCUGUGCUCUUCAUGAUGUGAAGACACAAGAAGACAGCCAUCUGUGGGCCAGGAAGAGGUCCUCACUGGAACCCAACCAUGCUGGCACCCCAAUCUUGAAUUUCUAGCUUCAAGAACUUGGGAAAUAAAUGUAAGCCAGCCAGCUUAUGGAUUUGUUACAGCAGCCUAAGCUAAGUCAGAGUCUCUAGAACAGCUGGUCUGGGGCAGCGGUGAAGGGAGGUGGGUGGGCAUAUGACCCUGCCCUGCACAUGAAUGGCAAAGGCAACUGGAGAGCCUCUCCCUUUUGGUGAGAUCCCCAGUCCACAAGGGCAUGUUCAUCCAUAGCUUUACUUCCCGAAGCAAAUUCUGGUUCCUGGGGCCUGUGCCUCCAUAGAUGGCAUGAUCUGCAGCCUCCUGUGGUAAUUUACCCUCUUCCUAAAUUUCUGAGUCUUCACAUUUAAGCAAUCCUAGUUAGAUAUCCUCUACCUGUAUCCAUGGCUGUCUUUCAGUCACAUUACAGACUCAUUGUGAUGACCAUGUAGGGACAAUGUGAUUUCAGAAACAUGGCCUCAUUUGAUUUUAAUGUAAAUAUAAAUCAGUGAAGCAGAAAAAGAGAAUCUCCAGAAAAACAAGGGAUGAGGCUGUACAGCAAGUUAAAGUGGAAUCAGAACCCAACUGUAGUCCAUUAUUUGUUUCAAUCCUGCUCUUUUCUACCAUAUCACCCAGUUUCCAAAUCGUUCAGCAAAUUGCCAUGGUCAAUGGGAUUAACCUUUCCCUUUUAUUCUCAGGAAAUCUCCCUUGUCCAUUUUGCAAGACUGUGUGAUUCUUUCUACUGUUACAAGGAAUAAAAGCCUUCCUAAAAA